CCUACGGGUGGCAGCAGUGAGGAAUAUUGGUCAAUGGGCGAGAGCCUGAACCAGCCAAGUCGCGUGAGGGAUGAAGGCUCUAUGGGUUGUAAACUUCUUUUAUCUGGGAGUAAAGUGCGGAACGCGUUCCUUUUUGUAUGUACCCUAUGAAUAAGCAUCGGCUAACUCCGUGCCAGCAGCCGCGGUAAUACGGAGGAUGCGAGCGUUAUCCGGAUUUAUUGGGUUUAAAGGGUGCGUAGGUGGUUAAUUAAGUCAGCGGUGAAAGUUGGGGGCUCAACCAUAAAACCGCCGUUGAAACUGGUUGUCUUGAGUAGACUUGAGGUACGCGGAAUGCGUGGUGUAGCGGUGAAAUGCAUAGAUAUCACGCAGAACUCCGAUUGCGAAGGCAGCUUAC
rnacentral:rRNA from 1 species